rnacentral:rRNA from 1 species
UACGGAGGGUGCAAGCGUUGUCCGGAUUUAUUGGGUUUAAAGGGUGCGUAGGCGGAGCCGUAAGUCAGUGGUGAAAUCCAGCAGCUUAACUGUUGAAUUGCCAUUGAUACUGCAGUUCUUGAGUGAAUUCGAGGUGGCAGGAAUGUGUAGUGUAGCGGUGAAAUGCAUAGAUAUUACACAGAACACCGAUUGCGAAGGCAAGCCACUAGGAUUUAACUGACGCUGAGGCACGAAAGCGUGGGGAGCAAACAGG